UUUUAUUUCAUAGAAGAAAAUUUGUUACUAUUAAUUUCUAAAUUUAUAUUUUUGUUAAUAUUGAUGAUAGAUAUGGACAAUAAUAUUAUAGAAGAUUUUCUCUCGCAUCGAAGAUUAGAAUUUAAGUAUAAUGAAGAAAAUCAUACUGUGAGCUUUGAAGAAGUAUUGCAAGAUGAUAGCAAAGAUAUUGAAGCUAGCAUUGGAAGUGAGAAAAAUAUCAAAAUGAUCCAUGCAUGUAUUCGUGAUGAAGUGAUACCUAAGGUUUUCGUGGAACAGAUAAACGAGAUGUUAAUAUGAAACGCCAUCGUGCUGAAACAA